AAGGGUGCGUAGGCGGUUUAUUAAGUCAGUGGUGAAAGACGGUCGCUCAACGAUUGCAGUGCCAUUGAUACUGGUAGACUUGAGUGGGAUUGAGGUAGCUGGAAUGGAUAGUGUAGCGGGUGAAAUGCAUAGAUAUUAUCCAGAACACCAAUUGCGUAGGCAAGUUACUAAGUCUCAACUGACGCUGAGGCACGAAAGUGUGGGUAUCAAACAGGAUUAGAUACCCCAGU
rnacentral:rRNA from 1 species